UACGUAGGGUGCAAGCGUUGUCCGGAAUUAUUGGGCGUAAAGAGCUUGUAGGCGGUUUGUCGCGUCUGCUGUGAAAUUUCGGGGCUCAACCCCGAACUUGCAGUGGGUACGGGCAGACUAGAGUGUGGUAGGGGAGACUGGAAUUCCUGGUGUAGCGGUGAAAUGCGCAGAUAUCAGGAGGAACACCGGUGGCGAAGGCGGGUCUCUGGGACGGUACUGACGCUGAGACGCGAAAGCGUGGGGAGCGAACAGG
rnacentral:rRNA from 1 species